CCAGCUGUGUUUAACAAAGAAGUUUCCGGAAGCUUUUUGAAUACAGAGAGUGAUGAAGUAUUGACUGUAAUGCUGAUUGGAGUUGUCUGAUCCUGUAUUUUUGUUCUUUGUCUUUUGCUACACAGAGUGAACAGAUCUUUGGUUUUGCCUUUGCUGACUGCUGAUCUGAUCGUCUCAAGUCUGGUGACCUGCUGCAGAAAACCCUCUCCCUCUAUCAUUAUCAAGCAAUUCUGUCUAUCCUAUCACUCUCCCAACUCUAUCUAAUUUGACAGCCAUUCUAUCUUGUAUCCCUCUAUCCCUACUGCUCUAUCUAAUUUGACAGCCAUUCUAUCUUGUAUCCCUCUAUCCCAAGCACUCUCUCAUUUUCAGAAAUCUAAGUUUUCAGAAAUCUAAGUUUUCAGAAAUCUAAGUUUUCAGAAAUCCAAGUCUUGAGAAAUCCAAGUUUUCAGAAAUCUAAGUUUUCAGAAAUCCAAGUCUUGAGAAAUCCAAGUUUUGAGAAAUCCAAGUUUUGAAAAAUCCAAGUUUUGAAAAAUCCAAGUUUUACCAGAUCCCUGUUUUUGGCAAUUGAAGUUACCAGAACUUUGUCAAUCUGUAUUCAGAAUUCUGAGAGAUCUCCGCUCUCACUGCUCCUUCUUUCCUGUCAUUAAACUCUCUCUCCAUUCAUUUUGCUGGAAAAUAACAAUUAGAAAGUUGAAUAUACAGUAGUAGAAUUGCAGUACAGUAGAACUUAUAGUAGAAACUACUUAUACAGCCCUACAUUUGUAGUUUUAACUUGGCAUUACACUUUGGAAUAAACACUGAUAGUUUGGCUUACUGGUGCAAUUACUUUGAUACAUUAUAUAAAAUAUACACCUUUUAUAAGGUUUAUUUGUAAUAAGAUAAUCUGACUAUUCUGUAAUAUAUUCAGAGUGCUAUAUUCACAUAAAUAUUAAAUUUGAUUCAAAUACAUUUUUCAAGUCUGUUUCGUUGGCUAUAACAUUUGACUACAAGUUUAUACUAUUAUUAUCGAAGGACAAACCCUUUUUGUCACUCAGUGUAAGUGUUCAGUUACAAUUGUCAUCUAGAGGCUGCCCUGUGAACCCAGACUUCCUGUUUCCUGACUGCUGCAGAACAUCCAGCUGAAGAAUCCCCAUCGCCUGUCAUCUGAUCACCACACCAUCACAGCUCCUUAUAUUUGCUUUAAAUUUUAAAUAUCUGAAACAUUUACACAAAGUCUACUUAAAA